UUUUUGACGGGAUAGUACUAGUUUAUUUCUGAAAUAAAAAUGUGAUCAAAUUGAUUAGAGCAACACUUUGUUGCUCACUGUUACCUACGGGCUAUGAGUAUCUAAAAAUGAAAAUGGAAAUUCCAUCUCGUUGUCUCUAUUCUCUCCUGAAGUCUUGUUUACACUAGGCAGAUCAUCAUUUAGGCUUGAACAACAGAUGCAGCAUUCAUCCUUUCACCUCAAUUGUACAGUUUACCUUUUCAAAUAACAUUUGCUGGUGAGAUUUACAAACUAGCUGUAAGUGCAUGAUGUUAUGGGUGAUUGUCCCAUGAGUUACUGCCUGGAUGAUAUAUAAUCCCCGGGCCUCACGGCAGCAUAUAGUUGUUUGGUGCUUAUAAAAUGAUAUCAGUAACAUAGUUAUCCAAAUAAGAAUAAGGUGCUGGUACAUACUAAUUAAGAAUGUACCCAUCAGCAUAUAUAGGCAAUGAGGCACGUUGCCAUUUUCUCUUAUUCUAAUAGGAAAUACAAAGAUUUCGCCUUCUGUAAAACCUCAUCUUGUCCAUCGCUCUCUCUCUCUCUCUCUGUGUGUGUGUGUGUGAGAGAGAGAGAGAGAGAUGUUCCAGUUUGUGUAUGAGAACGGCGAGGAUACUGUUUUUGUUCUUCUUUAGUAGCAAUUCCAUGUAUAUUUGUAGAUUAGGUAGUCUACUCUCCUUUGCUCUGGAAAGGCCUGGAGAGACCCCUCUUAAUCCAGUGAAAUGCUAUUGGCCAGUCUGCUGCUUCGAUAGGCAGUACGAUCAUUUGAUUGAGUAGUUCCUAAUUCCACAAUGUUUUUCUACUUGGCAGCCUAGAAGACGCAAACGGUUGAUCUGAGAAAUAAAUAAAAAGUCGUGUUUGCAUAGUUAAAAUGUAUGUGGAAAGACAUUUUUGUUUAACAGCGACCUGAGCACUGAAUGUUGUCAGAAAUCCGUUUACUGAUAAAAUUGAAGGAAAUUAGGUAUUUCGGAAUAAUACCGUUCAAGGGAUGGGAGGUAACAUUAUGCGUGAUUAAGCAAUAUUAUGCUGUCUUUGAAACAUAGAAGCAACUUCCGAAGAGUUAUAGAUGGCUUGGAUGAGUCUGUUGAGAUGGAUAAUGUGGUAUAAGAAGAGAGAGUGGUACUUAUCCAAAUUCCAAAGGAGGUGAGAGGGUGAAAAACAGUGUGUUGAACAGCUCUUAUGGGAAAAAUAAAUCGAGAAAAAAAGUACCUUAGUUCGGUGGGUUUCUAUAAAAGGUUGAGUAAUGCACCCAUUCAAGUAUCUGAAAAUUGUGAGUCUGUAAAAUUGGAAGAUUGAUGAAGGGACAAUAAUUACAGUAGAAAAUGAGUAAUGUGAUCACUAUAUCUUAGUCUAUUGGUGAUGUAGCCUAAACAUUUAUUCAAUUCAACUGCACCCCAAUUGAUGAUAAAACAAGAGUAACAACAACAAUAAAAACAUACCUGCGCAUAGCGCGAGCUUUAGUGCGCCGGCCUGCCCCUACCGCAGAGGUAGAGAGGCUGUUUCUGGAUAGACCCUCGGCUCAAAGGAACCCAAUUGAUGAUAUAGGAUCAAACAAAAGGUCAUGUUAAAUUGGCCGUGAAUGUCGUGAGUCAUUUGAAUUUCUUUUAAUUGAUAUGAUUUCUAUAAAGUGAUCCCAGCUAGUUUGGAACUUAGACAUAACUGAUUGAUGGUUCCGUACAAAUGCUUUUCCGUUAUCAAUAAAAUUCUAUUACUUUACUUGAUCGAGAAAAGAUAUUUACUGACAACAUCAUGUGAGAUAGAACAAAUUUUUUUGAACAGAUACAUACUCGCCAACGAAUAAGAUCCUGUAAUAUUUAUGAGUGCAAAUUGUAUCAAAAGAUGCUAACCAAAUUAAUGUUAUACCUUAAACACUAUGUUUCCCGUCUGUUUCUCGUCAUAUACUUGUAUUGAAUGAAGAGCUUUUUGUUGAUUCUCAUGCUCUGGUCUUUUUUGCCUGCAGAUCGAUCGUCAAACUCUAUCAAUUGCUGUCCGGUUUUUGAAGGCAAAAACUCCAGAACAGAGGGCUGCUGUUGAUUUAGACACCCACUAUUCAAAGGUUGAUUAGUUAUUUAUUUAAUAAUGCUGAAAAUUAAGUGCUCCACUUUCCUAGUUCCCUCCUGCAAAGUGCCAUGUAUUGGUGUACAAAUAAAAUGUAAACUAGAUGGUUUUAUGUGCAUUAUUUUAUUGCUGAUUAGUUGAUUUAUCUUCAAUAGAUAUAAAUUCUAAUCUAUCUCAAAAAAAAAAUAUAUAUAUAUAUAAAUACUAAUCAGUGAUGCUAUUUAUCACGACUAGGGAAUGAUAUCUGACUACCUAUUUGUGUUUUGCUCUUUGCAGGAAUACCUCGAGGAAGAUGUGGGAACUACGACCCGAAGAGCAGUAUUAUAUCAAGUGAGUGACAGAUGUUUCUUCGGCUAUCUUUUAUCUUUUUCAACCAUUGUAAAGUAAUCCACAAGAAACAAGACUUACGGUGCUUACUUGGUUUUUCCCCCCUCUUAUUUUUGGGGUGUGCCAGGAAUAUGUGAAAGGCAUAUCAGCAUCCGGUAUGCAGUCAAAUUGUGGAUUUGAUGGACAGAUAAAUGCUUGUUGGUCUCAUAAGUUAUCACGGGCUGAUCUUGAAUCUAUCUGCUCUGCUGGAUUCCUAAUUU
rnacentral:lncRNA from 1 species